UACGUAGGGGGCGAGCGUUGUCCGGAGUUACUGGGCGUAAAGGGCGCGUAGGUGGCGCGGGAAGUCAACGGUGAAAGUUCGGGGCUCAACCCUGAAUCGGCCGUCGAUACUCCCGGGCUCGAGCACUGUAGAGGCAGAUGGAAUUCCGGGUGUAGCGGUGGAAUGCGUAGAGAUCCGGAAGAACACCGGUGGCGAAGGCGGUCUGCUGGGCAGUUGCUGACACUGAUGCGCGACAGCGUGGGGAGCAAACAGG
rnacentral:rRNA from 1 species